ACGCAAUGAGAGCAGAGAUGCCAUAUAUAAUGGUGGAUUUGUAUGUGACGCACAGCCCAAAUCUAUGGAACUGUUUUGGGCAGGAAAGCCAUGCUUGCGGUCGGUCAAAUAUGACCUCCAGCUAUCUCCCGAACCCCUGAACUGAUCGCUCUGAUUUUUAAAUAUGUUGUUCCCAUAAUUAUGCCCGUUCGUAAAAUAUACGUUUUAAGUGAAUUGA